GUUGCUAAUUAGUCACAUCUCUACAAUACCUGCUGCUUAUCCGGUCAGUUACCUAUAGCUUGUACCAUAGCCAUUAUAUUUGUAGGACCAAUACAAUUUACAGUAAAUGUAACAGUCUUUUCUAUACUGUAGGGGGGCACAUCCCAGUUACCCACAUGCAAGGAGGCUGUCAGAGAAAUCACUGCAGACUGUUGGUACACAGACAUCUGCUGCCCAGCUCAGGAGUGAAGUACCUUUUGGUUUGAUGAGGUGAUGGUGAGGACAGCCACAGCUUCCAUCUGGUAGAGGACUGCUUCCGCUCAGUCUUCCAAAUAGUGAUGAGAACAAGGAUCACCACAUCUCCCUGUUUACCCUACUUUCAUGCAUUUCGGCUGCAAGGCCCUGCAAAAGCUUCUGUCCUCAACCCCCCAGACUUCUUAAUUAACUCAGUAACCUAUACAUUGCACAUUGGAGUGUGAAGGUAACAGUUUGUUCUAGCUUUGGAGUAGUGGUGCAUUUUUUUGGUUUACAAUAAAGUUGGCUUUAACUAUUA